GAUAAUAAAAGAGGGACUGCUGAAACAGCGGUCAAAGAUGAGAAUGAAGAUGACGGGACGUAUGAAACAAUCGACGUGUCCAUUCCUGCUGCUGAGCAGACAGAUGAUAUGAUUUAUUCUGAAGUCUCCUUCCACUAAAAUCACUCAAUGAUCAUAAUGAUACAGUGACUUACACUGCCAUCAGAGGAACAGAAUAGAAGAAGAACAGAUUAAAGCGUCCUCACAAGCCCCUUCCUGGAGUUUGUUUAUCCACUGGAUUUCUGUCUGAAGACCUUUAAUCUUCAUUCACAAUGCUGAACGCAUGCUGCACAUGCUGAAACGAUCAUCUGGCGGCGGUUUCUUCUAGAAAAAGAUGUCAGUCUGAGAAUUAUGUCAGUGUUUGAUCAAAUCACAUCAAAAUUUGACUUUGCAGUGUGUUACAAACUUUAAUGUCAGACAGAACUGAAUUUGAUCUCGUUAUCUGAAAAGUUUCAGAAUUAGAAUUACGUUUUAAAUGAAUACUUGUAUGAACAUAUUAAGGUAGAAAAAUUCAUUCUGUGUUUUUCUGAAUGUGUUUUCUUCAUCUAUUUGCACACACUGUUUUG